CCUACGGGCGGCAGCAGUGGGGAAUAUUGGACAAUGGGCGAAAGCCUGAUCCAGCCAUGCCGCGUGUGUGAAGAAGGCCUUCGGGUUGUAAAGCACCUUCAGUGGGGAAGAAAGCCUUGGGGCUAAUACCCUCGAGGAAGGACAUCACCCACAGAAGAAGCACCGGCUAACUCCGUGCCAGCAGCCGCGGUAAUACGGAGGGUGCGAGCGUUAAUCGGAAUUACUGGGCGUAAAGCGCGCGUAGGCGGUCUGAUAAGCCGGUUGUGAAAGCCCCGGGCUCAACCUGGGAACGGCAUCCGGAACUGUCAGGCUAGAGUGCAGGAGAGGAAGGUAGAAUUCCCGGUGUAGCGGUGAAAUGCGUAGAGAUCGGGAGGAAUACCAGUGGCGAAGGCGGCCUUCUGGACUGACACUGACGCUGAGGUGCGAAAGCGUGGGUAGCAAACAGGAUUAGAUACCCGGGUAGUC
rnacentral:rRNA from 1 species